rnacentral:lncRNA from 1 species
GUAGACCAUGAAAAAUAAUUUCCUUAGAAAAGGAUUUCCUUUAGCAAAAUACAAACAAGAGAAAAGGUGAGGGCAUUUCAGACAAAAAGUUCAAAAAGUGGCAUUAGAGAGCAGGGACUGCAAUGAGGCAUACGAAAAACCAAAAAAUAUGCGCACAAAAGAUGAUUAAUAAUCUUCAGGACAGACGCUGACACAGACCCCAACCAUAUAGCAUCCUCCCCAGCAAGGAAAAGUGUCCUCUAGGACACAAGACAAAUGUCUUCGCUGCGUAGUCGCUUUCACAGUUAAUUUAAGUUUCCCAAGCCAAACGGAUGCAGGACCUGAGCCGGGAAUGUAAAAUUUUGCUGAUUUUGUCAACUGUUUGUCGCUGAUAAAAUUAUUAGCCCUCCUUUGUUUCUUACUCCUCGCACUCUGAAAAAAACUCAAGAAGAACGGAAUAAUCUUUCUCCACUAGAAAUAAAAUGGAAUUUAAGGGUGGAGUACAAUUUUUUGUUCGUGCUCGCAUUUUUGUAUUAAAAUGCAAAUUUUUUGUUAAUUUUGUUGUUUUUGUUUUAAUCAGCAGGAAACCACCAAAGCCACACAGCCACCAGCCAAUGUUCGCUCUACCCCUCCUCGGACGGUUGCACUUGGCUGAUGAUGAAUGUUGAACCCUGGCGUAUGUCCCAGGAAACAGGAAGAAAGACCUGAGGUCACCCCAAG